GCUGGCGGUAGGCUUAACACAUGCAAGUCGUGCGAGAAAGCAUCUUCGGAUAUGAGUAGAGCGGCGGACGGGUGAGUAACGCGUAGGAAUCUACCUAGUAGAAGGGGAUAGCCCGGGGAAACUCGGAUUAAUACCGUAUACCUCCUUCGGGAGAAAGAAGGCCUCUCUUUGAAGCUUUCGCUACUAGAUGAGCCUGCGUAAGAUUAGCUUGUUGGUGAGGUAAAGGCUCACCAAGGCGACGAUCUUUAGCGGGUCUGAGAGGACGAUCCGCCACAUUGGGACUGAGACACGGCCCAGACUCCUACGGGAGGCAGCAGUGGGGAAUAUUGGACAAUGGGCGCAAGCCUGAUCCAGCCAUACCGCGUGUGUGAAGAAGGCCCUAGGGUUGUAAAGCACUUUAAGUUGGGAAGAAAAGUUAUUGGUUAAUACCCAAUAGCCGUGACAUUACCAUCAGAAUAAGGACCGGCUAAUUCCGUGCCAGCAGCC
rnacentral:rRNA from 1 species